rnacentral:lncRNA from 1 species
CUCUCUCUCUCUAACUCUCAGGAACUCACACUCUCUCUAAGCUCCGAGAGCUUCUCUCUAACUUUCACCUCACUUCCUUCACAAAUCAAACCCCAAAAACCAUAUAUUUGGAAUCCUUGAGACCUAACGAACUCAAUGGUACCCUUGCAUGCGCCAUCAGAGCACUGUGGACUUUUCUGCCAUUGAAGCUGAGAGCUUCAAAGCUCUAAAACUCGAACCCAGGUGAGAAGUGUGUUCCUUCUUCAAAUUUCUGGGUUUAAUCAUGCUAUUUUACACACUGUUGUGUUGGUUUUGUGGUCAAAAUCGAGGGUUUUGACCUUAUCUCUUUUCUAUGCCAAGAACCCGGUUCCGACAACGAACUCCGGCGAGUUUGUUGCUGUGGAUUGCGCGGAUCCCUUCGAACCUAAACCCAGGUAGUUAUUUUACCUUGCUAUUUGUUGGUGGUACUGUGAGUGUGUGGUGUGUGUGCGCGUGAACCGUGUGUGUGUGAGAGAAUGCUGUGCAUGCCGUGUAUGCUUGCUGUGUCUGUGUGUUUAUAUAUGUAUAUAUAUAUAUGAUGCUGUGCGUGUGUGUGAUUAUAUAUAUAUAUAUAUAUGAUGCUGUGCGUGUGUGUGAUUAUAUAUAUAUGCAUGAUGCUGUGCGUGUGUGUGCUUAUAUAUAUAUAUGCAUGCUGUGCAUGCGUGUGUGUUUAUAUGUAUGUAUCUAUAUAUAUAUAUGUGCAUGCUGUCUGUGUGUGUGUUUGGCAUGUUGGUGUCCGUGCAAGUGUGUGUGUGUGAGAGUAAGUGUGAUGGUGUAUGGUGCACGUGUGUGUUGUGUAUGUUUGUGUACUGUAUGAAGUGUACAGUGUGUGCGUUGUGCGGUGCAGCUCUGUGAGUAUGUGUUGUGUAUGUAUGUGUGUGAAUGGGUGGUGUGUGUGCCGUGUGUGUAUAAGUAUGGGUUUAGGCUUAAGCCCAAAACCACCUCUUGAUCCUAACCUAUCCAAAUCCAAGGCCCAUUUCCAUUUCCUAGAAUUAUAUUGUUGGGUAGUUUGAUUAACUGUACGUUCUUGUACUUAGGGGCAAUUAUCGCAACGUUUUUGUCUUCGCUAGUGGCGCAGCUUUUGACGGAGUAUCUGUGAGUGGACCACCUUCGAAAAUUUGCAUGUUUUAUUGAUAGAAUUGCAUAAUUUAAUAGCAUGCCUUGCAGAAUUAUUGAUUUGAGGAAUACUUUACAGGAAGCAUGAUGAUUUGAUUAUACAUGAUUAUAUAUAUAUGUUUUGAACUAUUUCCAUUAUAUCGUAUUUUCUAUAGAACCCUCAUUCUGGUAGACUAUCUGAUCAAUGACGAUAGGAUGCUAAGAAUGUGUUUCAAUGACUUUCGAACACCUCUUCGUAGUAUUGAGGAUCGAUGAAUUUAUGCUACGAAGUUGUAUUUUAGAGAUGAAUUAUGUUUUGUGCGUACCUAGUGAACACUAUGCCGCCUGGGGCGAGGAUCUGGUGUUGGCAUUGAGGCUGGGAGAAAUAAUCCCUAGCGAAAGGCUGAGGGACACGGAGACAGGCAUUGGGCCGGGAGGGAGAUAUCUCUGGCUACGGGCACAGAGACUGAGGUGCAGGCAUUGGGCCGGGAGUAUUAUUAUUCAGUGCACUCACUAGCAGCACAACUUGUGUUAUGCUUCCUGAUACGAUUUCUGAUACGACUCCUGAUACGAUUUCUGAUACGACUCCUGAUACGAUUUCUGAUACGACUCCUGAUACGAUUUCUGAUAUGAUUUAUGAUAUGAUUUUCUGAGAUUGAUUUGCAGAUGGAUAUAUGAAUUGUUUUAUGGCAUGCUAGAGUUUUCUGAAAAGCUUAUCACUUAUUAUUCUAGUAGUUUUCAUUAUUAAACUGUGGGGGUUAGUAUGUUCAUAACUGUUUUUGUACUAUGUAUAUAUACAAGCUUGGUCCACUCACCCUUGUUUUGCGCCCCCAUUCAGGACUUAGGAUGAAGGCACAUAAUCCCGGCAUCAAGGUACUUCCGCAGCGGCAUCUUCGAGUCCUCUCGGGGUAGGACCCACUCAUUUGUUCAUUCAAUCUUAUCUUAAUUCUUGUUAGUGACUAGGUUUAGUUAUAUGCUCUGAACACGUUCCUAAAUUGUUAAUUCAUUGUUUUUUUAAAUUCAUAACCUGUAUUUAUUUCUUAUUCUUAGCUUUUGUAUCAAUUAAUGGCUUU